rnacentral:rRNA from 1 species
UUCGUGAAUCUGCGAACUAUGUUUCGACGACUAGCAUGCAGUCGUGGUCUUAGCAUGUAGGAGCGCGGCGUACGCUCAGUAACACGUGGCUACUACUUAGACGGGAGACACCCCGGACUGGCUAAUACCCGAUAGGUGAGGAGGCCUGGAAUGGUUCUUCGCUGAAAAGGCGCUGAAACCAUGCUUUUCAACGUCGCCUUAAGGAUGGGGCCGCGUCCGAUCAGGUUGUUGGUGGGGUAACGGCUCCACCAAGCCUAUUACCCGGUACGGGCCGUGAGAAGCGGGAGCCCGGAGAUGGGCACUGAGAUAAGGGCCCAGGCCCUACGGGGCGCAGCAGUCGCGAAAACUCCGCAAUGCGCGAAAGCGUGACGGGGCUACCCCGAGUGCCGUCCGCUGAGGAUGGCUUUUCCCCGGUGUAAUGAGCCGGGGGAAUAAGGAGAGGGCAAGUCUGGUGUCAGCCGCCGCGGUAAUACCAGCUCUCCGAGUAGUAGGGACGAUUAUUGGGCUUAAAGCGUCCGUAGCCGGCUUAGCAAGUCCCCUGUUAAAUUCAGCGACCUAAUCGUUGAGCCGCGGGAGAUACUACUAGGCUAGGAGGCGGGAGAGGCCGACGGUAUUCCCGGGGUAGGGGUGAAAUCCUAUAAUCCCGGGAGGACCACCAGUGGCGAAGGCUGUCGGCUAGAACGCGCUCGACGGUGAGGGACGAAAGCUGGGGGAGCGAACCGGAUUAGAUACCCGGGUAGUCCCAGCUGUAAACGAUGCGGGCUAGGUGUUGAGGUGGCUACGAGCCACUUCAGUGCCGCAGGGAAGCCAUUAAGCCCGCCGCCUGGGGAGUACGGCCGCAAGGCUGAAACUUAAAGGAAUUGGCGGGGGAGCACCACAAGGCGUGAAGCUUGCGGUUCAAUUGGACUCAACGCCGGU